CAAUAGCGUAUAUUUAAGUUGUUGCAGUUAAAAAGCUCGUAGUUGGAUUUCGGUUGAGAGCGGCCGGUCCGCCGUUUGGUGUGCACUGGCUGGUUUCAACUUCCUGUAGAGGACGCGCUUUGGGCUUAACGACCUGGACUCGGAGUCUACGUGGUUACUUUGAAAAAAUUAGAGUGUUCAAAGCGGGCUUACGCUUGAAUAUUUCAGCAUGGAAUAACACUAUAGGACUCCUGUCCUAUUUCGUUGGUCUCGGGACGGGAGUAAUGAUUAAGAGGAACAGUUGGGGGCAUUCGUAUUUCAUUGUCAGAGGUGAAAUUCUUGGAUUUAUGAAAGACGAACUUCUGCGAAAGCAUUUGCCAAGGAUGUUUUCAUUA
rnacentral:rRNA from 1 species